rnacentral:rRNA from 1 species
CAGCAGUCGCCGCGGGAAUACGGAGGGUGCAAGCGUUAUCCGGAUUUAUUGGGUUUAAAGGGUCCGUAGGCGGAUCUGUAAGUCAGUGGUGAAAUCUCACAGCUUAACUGUGAAACUGCCAUUGAUACUGCAGGUCUUGAGUAAAUUUGAAGUGGCUGGAAUAAGUAGUGUAGCGGUGAAAUGCAUAGAUAUUACUUAGAACACCAAUUGCGAAGGCAGGUCACUAAGAUUUAACUGACGCUGAUGGACGAAAGCGUGGGGAGCGAACAGGAUUAGAUACCCCGGUAGUCCCUGUCUCUUAUAA